rnacentral:rRNA from 1 species
CCCUUAGAUGUCCUGGGCCGCACGCGCGCUACACUGACGGAGCCAGCGAGCUUACCCCUUUGCCGAAAGGCAUGGGAAAUCUUUUGAAUCUCCGUCGUGCUGGGGAUAGAUCAUUGCAAUUAUUGAUCUUGAACGAGGAAUUCCUAGUAAGCGCAAGUCAUCAACUUGCGUUGAUUACGUCCCUGCCCUUUGUACACACCGCCCGUCGCUACUACCGAUUGAAUGGUUUAGUGAGAUCUCUGGAUUGACGCUGGCUAGGGGGCGACCCUUGGCCAGACUGCUCGAGAAACUGCUCAAACUUGAUCAUUUAGAGGAAGUAAAAGUCGUAACA